rnacentral:tRNA from 1 species
GUAGCUCAACUGGCAGAGCAGUUCGCUCUUAACGAAAAGGUUGUGGGUUCAAUUCCCACCGGACCCA